UCAUGAGCAGACACCAGUCAGGAACGGUAAGACCCGGCAAAAACGGCCCCACAGUGUCAAAAGAAGAAGUUGUUACGGAGAUAUUGACCGUUCACUUCUUUUGAAUUCAUACAUUGAGAUUUUAAGCUGUGCAAUGGAAAGGCCCGGGGAUCUCUGUUUUGCUGAAGAAGGAUGUAGCAGCAGUAUAGUUCUUGAAAAGCAAGUGUUUCUGUCCAAAGUGCCGGAAUCUCAUGUCCAGCUUGCUUGUGGACUGCAUUACUGUGCUUUCCCUUUGAAUGGAAAUGAGCUUUGUGUUUGGAAAACUACUGAUGACUUUGACCGCCAGCCAUUACAUAUGAUAGGACAUCACCACUCAAUUACUGCACUGGCAUUUGGGAGCAAAGUCAAUCCACUCCUCAUUUGCUCUGCUUCAUGUGACUAUGUGAUCGUGUGGAACCUGGAUGAAUGUAUGAAGAAAGUGCUACAAGGGUUAAUGCCACAAGGCAUUGUUAUAGGAACACUUUUGGGGAUGGUACUUUAUGUCCGAUUUAGUCCAGAUGACCAGACUGUGGCAGUAUGUGCUGGCAAUCAGAUAUAUAUUCUAAGUGCAAAGGAUGAGGCUUUAAUUGCUGAAUUGGAAGGCCACUUGGCUCCAGUGACUGCUGCUGAGUUUUGUACUUGGGAGAAAAAUAUACUUAUAUCAGUUUCUGAAGAUAGAAGCUUUAAGGUGUGGGAUUAUUGUACUGGACUAUUACUAUAUCAAUCAACAGUGAUAACAGCAUUUCCUCUCUUAAGUCUCUUUAUUGAUGAAGAAAAUAAACAGAUUAUCACUGGUUGUGCAGAUGGACAAUUGUGGAUCUUCAGCUUGAUUAAGGGACAUCAGUAUCGAUGUGUUGUACAUAUCAAUGUAAAAAAAGAAAGAGAAAAAUUUUACAGAAAAAUACGGAAAUCUGAACAACUGGAUGAGAUUCAGAAUGCUUCCAAAGUGUAUGUUCCAAAUAAAUUAAGAACAGAAGAAACAGUUGAGACUACCUUUCCUGUUCUCAGAAUUGAGCACUGUGACAAGUUUGUAAAUUUAAGUGAUGAGGAACAAAAUUGUUCUUCAGUAAAUGCUCGAUUCUUGUGGAUAGGAACUUCCACUGGUUUAUUCAUAAUUAAUCUGGCAAAUUUUGAGGUGGAAGCUAUUUUACAUUAUAGAGAUUACAGUGCCCUCAGUAUUCAAUUUGCUGGAUCAUGUGCUUUAAUGAGGAAGGCAAUUAAUGGUAAGGUUUUCUGUUUGCUGACUUCAAUGUUUGAGAAUCGAAUUGCCUUGUUAGAGCUUAAUGUUGCUGCCCUGUUGAAGUCUCAGCAGAGCAAACUUCUUAUAACUGGCAGGGAGAAAGAUCUUUCAGUUGUUGCCAGUUGCUCUCUUCUCCCAACCUCUCCCUUGUGCCUGAAGAAAGAAAGAAAUGAAGAUGUUAACAGAAAAGAUAAGUUCAAUAAAAAGUGCACAAUAAAAGAUAAGCCACUGGUUUUCCACUGCAAAAUUAAGUCAUCAGGCUACACAUCAACACCACAAAUGAACAUGUUUUCUCCAAGGACUACUGCUAAGCAAAGGAGUUUGGCAUCGAAAUGCAAAAGAAAUUGCAAACAAAGAAAAAAGGAAGACUACCCAUUGGGACAUCCUCCUCCAACCAAAUCUGAGAGGUGUAUUACUGUAGCUGAUAAACCAACUUCUAUAUGCUGUAUUCAGUACUCAGGAGAUGGAGAGUUGUUGGCUUGUGGCUUAGCAGACAAAACUUUGCUGGCAUUCAGCUCAAACCUUAAAGGAACACCAACUGUUUAUUCAGGGCACGAUGGGGCUGUUACUUCAGUGGAAUGGAGCCAUGACAAAAACUGGCUAGUUUCAUCUUCUGAAGACAGAACACUAAGGAUAUGGUCAGUCAGCAAUGCAGAGCCUGCUUUAUGUCUGGGUAAGGAGAUGUUUCAUAAACCUAUCAGAUCAGCACAGUUUUAUUAUAUGGAUACCUUUAUAUUGCUGUCUUGUGGAGCAGAGUUUCAUUUGUUGAGAUACUUCCUUGAUACCAGCAAGGAUGAAAUAAAACGGUACAAAAAUAAGAGUUUUUGCAAAUCAAUACAGAAAUUUCCCAUGGAAUCUACUGUAGAAAUCACCAGCCUUGCAGCAGUAAAUGAAUUCUACUCUUAUAUUGUACUGGCAGCUGGUAGUAAUCGAGCUCUAGAAGUAUUUGACCUCAAUUUGGGCUGUAGUGCAGCAGUGAUAACAGAUGUUCAUUCAAGAGCAAUUUACCAGAUUUGCCAAAAUAAGGGGUCAGUUUUUAGCACUCAACAGUUUGGCGCGUACAAUCUUUUCUUAACAACUGCAAUUGGUGAUGGCAUAAAACUCUGGGAUUUGAGAACACUAAGGUGUGAACGCCGUUUUGAAGGACAUAGCACCCAUUGUCAUCCUUGUGGAAUUGCUGUUUCUCCUUGUGGACAGUUCAUUGCCUGUGGCUCUGAAGAUAAAUGUGUAUGCUUAUAUCUAUGAAAUGCAUUCAAGCACCUAUUCCCAUAAGUUGACAGGACACUCAGAGUCUGUAAUCAAUGUGGCUUUUAAUCCUUCAUCUCCCCAGCUCACCACUGCCACUUUGGAUGGCAAACUGCAGUUGUUUCUACCCUGAUGGCAAUCAGCCCCAACACCUAUGGCUCAACUACACUGAGAAUAAAAUCUCCCUGAGGGAACAGAGAAGAUUUGUAAUUGGUCAAGCUGGAACAUAUUUCCAUUAAAAAGAAUCUGCUAGAUUAUUUGUAUCUUCUAUAAAUCCAUUGGGAGUUGCUUAAAGGCUUUUUCAUGGGGAAAAAUCUAACAGCAAAAGUUUGGUAUAAGAAUACUGAGUAUUUUCUAUUCUUACUCCAGUUUACACAUUACAGUAUAUCUGCUUUCACACUUCAAUGAAACUUCACAACAACUAGAAAAUAGUGAAAUGAUUUUGUCAGGUUGGAUCCCACUAUCAGCGUGUCUCUGCCUGUACUGCAUUUUGUACAUUUAUUAGGGAAUAUCAGAUAAGACUUAAGAAAUCUAGUGUUUGCUGGAUAUUUACAAUUUCUGUUCUGGGACUUUAGCAACUGCCCUCACAGCUGGACUUUUUUUUAAAAAAAGAAUUUUUGAGCAGUCAAUUGACAAGUCAGUAAGUUAUUGACUGCUCUAUGAUGUUCUUGCCUGAAUCUUCUAUAAUAAAGUGAUAUUAUACUCA